rnacentral:rRNA from 1 species
AUUGAACGCUGGCGGCAGGCCUAACACAUGCAAGUCGAGCGAGAGGCGGACGGGUGAGUAAUGUCUGGGAAACUGCCUGAUGGAGGGGGAUAACUACUGGAAAAGGUAGCUAAUAACGCAUACCAUCAGAUGUGCCCAGAUGGGGUUAGCUAGUAGGUGGGGUAACGGCUCACCUAGGCGACGAUCCCUAGCUGGUCUGAGAGGAUGACCAGCCACACGGGAACUGAGUCCAGGUCCAGACUCCUACGGGAGGCAGCAGUGGGGAAUAUUGCACAAUGGGCGCAAGCCUGAUGCAGCCAUGCCGCGUGUGUGAAGAAGGCCUUCGGGUUGUAAAGCACUUUCAGCGGGGAGGCGUUACCCGCAGAAGAAGCACCGGCUAACUCCGUGCCAGCCGCCGCGGUAAUAC